AGGACGAACGCUGGCGGCGUGCUUAACACAUGCAAGUCGAGCGGUAAGGCCCUUUGGGGUACACGAGCGGCGAACGGGUGAGUAACACGUGGGUAACCUGCCCUGUAACUUUGGGAUAAGCCUGGGAAACUGGGUCUAAUACCGGAUAUGACCGUGUUCCGCAUGGGGUGUGGUGGAAAGUUCCGGCGGUACGGGAUGGGCCCGCGGCCUAUCAGCUUGUUGGUGGGGUGAUGGCCUACCAAGGCGACGACGGGUAG
rnacentral:rRNA from 1 species